rfam:Mus musculus chromosome 2, GRC primary reference assembly.
UAGGGAAGACUGGGUUCAGACCUCCUCCCCGAACCCAGGUUAACUCUGAGAGUGGAGGGGAA